UAAAACCAAAAUUACAAGUUCAAUUUGAAUGAACCAAGUCAAGAAAAGGGGUAAAAAAUUCAAUCAAAGAAAAUCAAUCAGGUCAGUCAAUUAGUUGGUAUAACCCUUUGAAAGAGGGUGAUAUCUCAUAUAUAAAACACACAAAUAAGUAAAUCAAGAAGGGAUUGUCAAGUUACUAGCAGAGAGUUUAAUCAAAUAAAGAUUCAGAAUCAUAGGCAAAACUGGAACAAGUUCAAUUAUAGACUCAUGGGGAGUCUGAAAACCUAGGGUCCCAAAGUGGAACCCUUAUACCUCUUGUUGAAGAAAACCCCAAAUCCUAGGGUUUCUAAUCGAGCCAGACAAUAGAGAUGAGCAAACAUGCCAUUGAAAGAGGCUCAGAAGUCUCUUCAAAGGACUUAUGAGAGACAAACACACACCAUAGAAAUAACACUGAUUCAAAGUCAUGAGACCAUGUUUGAAAAAACUCGGAGUUGAAACAAGUUCAGAAGAAAGAGAUGAUACGAGUUUUAAACAAAAGUAGAGUAAACGUGCUUAGCAGGAACAUAAACAAAACUCAGUAGAGUGAACAAAAUCAAAGAGCUCAAACACAAACUUAUAUAGAAAAGAAUAAGGAUUAAUAACGCAAAUUAACAUGCGAGCAUAAAAGUAACAGCAAAAAUAGAAGAGUCUUGCAUAAUAGAGAGGAGACAAGAGAGAAAACUCACGCGUAGUAAAAUAAAACAUACGAGCACAAAACACAUAUAAAGAAAGAAUAGGAAUAAUCAGAAAGAUACUCAAAAAACCUUUUCAAAAACCCUAAAAUCAAAAUUGUACGAUUUUAAAAAGGAAGUUUGGGGAAAACCUUUAAAAAAUCAAGUAAAGCCCAGAUGUAUCACAGUUCCUGAAAAAAACAAUAGGUGAGCACAGAACCUUAGAUGUCUUAAAGUUGCAGAGAAAGCCCUAGAAAUGAGAAAGGUCUUGAGGAGAGAUGGAUCAUGAGUUGAAAAGACUCAUAUUGCUUGAACAUG
rnacentral:lncRNA from 1 species